CGGAAGUGACGUUAUGUGUCCUAUAUAAGGCCUUGUGCAGCACGCGGUCGUUCUUUCUCUCUGCUGGUUACAGUAGUUUGUUAAAACGGUUGCAGCUGUUUAAGUUCGGCACUUUGAUGCCCGGAACUACAUGCAGAACAGCGCAGAAAUCAGUGCAGGACUUUACUGCACUAUGUGUAAUAAAAGCUUCUGUUCCACAAGGCUUCAGCCAAGGUGAUUUGACCAUGCUGCACAUCAACUGAGUAUUGGAAGGCUGAUGGAAGGCUUGCACCUGGUGCUAUGUGGCCUUCAAGCUGAAUUACUAACCAUCUCUUCGCACCAUGAAUCUGGAGGAUUUGCUCAUCCUGCACAGCUCUGAUUCAAGAAGCUGAAUGUUGGUGGAGUGAAUCCAUGCUGCACACCAACUGGGUAUUGGUGCAGGAAAUGUGAUCUGUAUGGAUGGAAGGCUUGCGCCUGGUGCUAUGUGGCCUUCAGGCUGGAUUACUAGCCAUCUUGUACAUCGCACCAUGAAGCCGGAUGAUUGAAUGAUCUUAAUGAUUGAGAAGCAGACAAGGUUGAGGCUGAUAUGCUGAAGCAAGUUUAGAAAGAUGUGCAACAAUUACCCCAAUGGCUACUUCAGUUUCAGAUGAAUGUCUGCAAAUGUUAGCUUGUGUUGAAUGUACAAAUGACUAGCUUUCAUGUUUAAAUGGUGCUACAGUAGUAUGCCAGAUUAUUCUUGAUUACAAUGCACUUGAGUAAAAAGUGUAAUGUAUUUUAUACUGCAUUUAUUAUAACUUAUAGUUUAGACAAUCACUUCUACACAUACAAUGUAAAUUCAAUACAUUUGAACAAAGUAUUAUGCAAAUGUUAACCAAGAACAUUGUUUGUAAUAAAAUUUAGAAUUGAUGUAAGGACUACAGUUGUGGCCAAGUUUAAUGGCAAUUGGUAAUGUAUUUAAAUGGGGAAAAAAUGGUGCUAACAAUUGUAUGAAUUUAGAUGUAAUAAGGUAAUUUAAAUACCUUAAAGCUUUCAUAUUGCCUCAUUUUCUCCAGAAUCCACUGCAACCCUCACCAGGUUCCUGAAUUGAAUAAAUGUCCCAAGAAAAUACUCAACUGUCCUGAGUUAUGCAGCAUUUUUCUUGUACAAGUAUUUCAUGUUUUUAUUACAUUAAAAUGCAAAUUGCUGA